CAGCUGACGGAUACUAAUCGAUCGAGGACUUAACCACAUUUGGUUGAUUCCGGUUUAACAUGUCACUUACUCUUUAUCUAGUUUUGAGAGAACAAUUUUUUUAAAAAUUUCUCUUGAAAAAAGCCCAUAAGCAUUAUACAAUAAUACUUGUCCUUUAAAAGGUCCGGUGAUUAAGGCGAAGAGGUCACACCCGUUCCCAUACCGAACACGGAAGUUAAGCUCUUCAGCGCCAAUGGUAGUUGGGGGUUUCCCCCUGCGAGAGUAGGACGUCGCCGGGC
rnacentral:rRNA from 1 species